rnacentral:rRNA from 2 species
UUAAGCGACUAAGCGUACACGGUGGAUGCCCUGGCAGUCAGAGGCGAUGAAGGACGUGCUAAUCUGCGAUAAGCGUCGGUAAGGUGAUAUGAACCGUUAUAACCGGCGAUUUCCGAAUGGGGAAACCCAGUGUGUUUCGACACACUAUCAUUAACUGAAUCCAUAGGUUAAUGAGGCGAACCGGGGGAACUGAAACAUCUAAGUACCCCGAGGAAAAGAAAUCAACCGAGAUUCCCCCAGUAGCGGCGAGCGAACGGGGAGCAGCCCAGAGCCUGAAUCAGUGUGUGUGUUAGUGGAAGCGUCUGGAAAGGCGCGCGAUACAGGGUGACAGCCCCGUACACAAAAAUGCACAUGCUGUGAGCUCGAUGAGUAGGGCGGGACACGUGGUAUCCUGUCUGAAUAUGGGGGGACCAUCCUCCAAGGCUAAAUACUCCUGACUGACCGAUAGUGAACCAGUACCGUGAGGGAAAGGCGAAAAGAACCCCGGCGAGGGGAGUGAAAAAGAACCUGAAACCGUGUACGUACAAGCAGUGGGAGCACGCUUAGGCGUGUGACUGCGUACCUUUUGUAUAAUGGGUCAGCGACUUAUAUUCUGUAGCAAGGUUAACCGAAUAGGGGAGCCGAAGGGAAACCGAGUCUUAACUGGGCGUUAAGUUGCAGGGUAUAGACCCGAAACCCGGUGAUCUAGCCAUGGGCAGGUUGAAGGUUGGGUAACACUAACUGGAGGACCGAACCGACUAAUGUUGAAAAAUUAGCGGAUGACUUGUGGCUGGGGGUGAAAGGCCAAUCAAACCGGGAGAUAGCUGGUUCUCCCCGAAAGCUAUUUAGGUAGCGCCUCGUGAAUUCAUCUCCGGGGGUAGAGCACUGUUUCGGCAAGGGGGUCAUCCCGACUUACCAACCCGAUGCAAACUGCGAAUACCGGAGAAUGUUAUCACGGGAGACACACGGCGGGUGCUAACGUCCGUCGUGAAGAGGGAAACAACCCAGACCGCCAGCUAAGGUCCCAAAGUCAUGGUUAAGUGGGAAACGAUGUGGGAAGGCCCAGACAGCCAGGAUGUUGGCUUAGAAGCAGCCAUCAUUUAAAGAAAGCGUAAUAGCUCACUGGUCGAGUCGGCCUGCGCGGAAGAUGUAACGGGGCUAAACCAUGCACCGAAGCUGCGGCAGCGACGCUUAUGCGUUGUUGGGUAGGGGAGCGUUCUGUAAGCCUGCGAAGGUGUGCUGUGAGGCAUGCUGGAGGUAUCAGAAGUGCGAAUGCUGACAUAAGUAACGAUAAAGCGGGUGAAAAGCCCGCUCGCCGGAAGACCAAGGGUUCCUGUCCAACGUUAAUCGGGGCAGGGUGAGUCGACCCCUAAGGCGAGGCCGAAAGGCGUAGUCGAUGGGAAACAGGUUAAUAUUCCUGUACUUGGUGUUACUGCGAAGGGGGGACGGAGAAGGCUAUGUUGGCCGGGCGACGGUUGUCCCGGUUUAAGCGUGUAGGCUGGUUUUCCAGGCAAAUCCGGAAAAUCAAGGCUGAGGCGUGAUGACGAGGCACUACGGUGCUGAAGCAACAAAUGCCCUGCUUCCAGGAAAAGCCUCUAAGCAUCAGGUAACAUCAAAUCGUACCCCAAACCGACACAGGUGGUCAGGUAGAGAAUACCAAGGCGCUUGAGAGAACUCGGGUGAAGGAACUAGGCAAAAUGGUGCCGUAACUUCGGGAGAAGGCACGCUGAUAUGUAGGUGAAGCGACUUGCUCGUGGAGCUGAAAUCAGUCGAAGAUACCAGCUGGCUGCAACUGUUUAUUAAAAACACAGCACUGUGCAAACACGAAAGUGGACGUAUACGGUGUGACGCCUGCCCGGUGCCGGAAGGUUAAUUGAUGGGGUUAGCGCAAGCGAAGCUCUUGAUCGAAGCCCCGGUAAACGGCGGCCGUAACUAUAACGGUCCUAAGGUAGCGAAAUUCCUUGUCGGGUAAGUUCCGACCUGCACGAAUGGCGUAAUGAUGGCCAGGCUGUCUCCACCCGAGACUCAGUGAAAUUGAACUCGCUGUGAAGAUGCAGUGUACCCGCGGCAAGACGGAAAGACCCCGUGAACCUUUACUAUAGCUUGACACUGAACAUUGAGCCUUGAUGUGUAGGAUAGGUGGGAGGCUUUGAAGUGUGGACGCCAGUCUGCAUGGAGCCGACCUUGAAAUACCACCCUUUAAUGUUUGAUGUUCUAACGUUGACCCGUAAUCCGGGUUGCGGACAGUGUCUGGUGGGUAGUUUGACUGGGGCGGUCUCCUCCUAAAGAGUAACGGAGGAGCACGAAGGUUGGCUAAUCCUGGUCGGACAUCAGGAGGUUAGUGCAAUGGCAUAAGCCAGCUUGACUGCGAGCGUGACGGCGCGAGCAGGUGCGAAAGCAGGUCAUAGUGAUCCGGUGGUUCUGAAUGGAAGGGCCAUCGCUCAACGGAUAAAAGGUACUCCGGGGAUAACAGGCUGAUACCGCCCAAGAGUUCAUAUCGACGGCGGUGUUUGGCACCUCGAUGUCGGCUCAUCACAUCCUGGGGCUGAAGUAGGUCCCAAGGGUAUGGCUGUUCGCCAUUUAAAGUGGUACGCGAGCUGGGUUUAGAACGUCGUGAGACAGUUCGGUCCCUAUCUGCCGUGGGCGCUGGAGAACUGAGGGGGGCUGCUCCUAGUACGAGAGGACCGGAGUGGACGCAUCACUGGUGUUCGGGUUGUCAUGCCAAUGGCACUGCCCGGUAGCUAAAUGCGGAAGAGAUAAGUGCUGAAAGCAUCUAAGCACGAAACUUGCCCCGAGAUGAGUUCUCCCUGACCCUUUAAGGGUCCUGAAGGAACGUUGAAGACGACGACGUUGAUAGGCCGGGUGUGUAAGCGCAGCGAUGCGUUGAGCUAACCGGUACUAAUGAACCGUGAGGCUUAACCUU